AGACUAUGUCAGUCAACUUCCCCACUACUCAGACAAAAUACCUGACAUCCCCAACUUAAAGGAGAAGGGGUUUAUUUUAGUUCAUGAUUUCAAAGGUUACAGCCCAUGGUCAGCUGGCUCCAAGGCACAAACAUCAUGGCAGAGGGACAUGGCAAAGGAAAACCAUUCCCUUCCAGCUGGAAUGUAGCCAUGAUGCCUGCAAAGUGUUACUAUCACCCAUGACCAUGAGGGAAAAGUCAUUUGAAUAACAGAAAUGAGAGCCUUGAUAUCUUUGAACCAGCAGUAACAACUACCUCUCCCAAACCCACUUGACAUGUAGGGAAUUAAACCUCUGUUUGUUUAGAGCAAUCUCAAUUGUGUUUUCUGUUACCUGAUACUGGAA
rnacentral:lncRNA from 1 species